UAAUUUCUUAGUUGCAAUCUAUUUUGGCGGUUGUUGGGAAAUGUUUUGUUGUGCUUGAUUUUUUGUUUUUCUCACGCCUUUGGUCAUUAUAGUAAUAUAUAUCCGGUCGAAAUUCAUGGAUAUUAAACUAUGAUAUCGAAUAAUGGACAUUCAACUAUGAUAACAAAUAGUGCUUCACUUAUUGGUGGAUGUAGUUGCUAAAUUGUGAUUAAUUGAUUCAUGUUGCAUGUAGCAAUGCAUGAGCAUUUUCCUAGUGAUUGUAGUGGGUCCGUAGCUGAGCAAAUAAAGGGGUGGACAUAUAUGAGCAUAAACUGUGAAAUAUAAUGGACAUCUGUGAAUAUAAAUAUAAAAGAAAGAAAAAAAGAUAAAAAACCAACUCUGAAGGACGAUGGUUCCCAUGCGUACUGUGCUAGCCCAUUUCGUAAGCACUCCAGGCAACACCUUGUUUGGCCUCACAAUAGUCGACACAUAGUUGCUUCGCUAAGGAUAAGGUGAGUGCCAGGUGGUCGUGUGUGCGAUUCAGGGACAACCUAAUCUCUCAUGUGGGCCGUCCACCUUAAUAUUGUAUGCAACUAGGGAAUGCGCAAUACUCUACGAAACUUAUUUUUCUUACGUGCACCAAUUAGUCUCUCCCAUGGGGCUUGACCGUUUAGUGAUUAGUACCACAUCACCAGGCUGUACAAAAUAGGGGCGGCAACUUGACUAGUUAAUAGGGUGGUAUGCCACGCGUGGAAGGUAUCCAUAUCCUUAAUGAACCCAACACAGGCUACCCUUUCAGUAUAAAUCGAAAACUGAAUCAAAAAGGAAAUAUAGAAACAACAAAACUUACUUACCAAAUUUGGUAUAUACCAAAUGCCAGGCUCAACCACGUGAGGUGUCCAACAUGGGCGUGGGACCGUCGAGCAGCGAUUCACGAGGGAGGAGAAAGGGGAUUGAUAGCCUAAGGAUUGUGGGUUUCGCAUGACCUCUCAUAAGUCCCAAACCCACACCUCGCUUUCUUACAUGUAUGUUUAAUGUCACAUGGUGGGGUGGGUUUUGGUACGUCUCAAUUGGCGCGGCAGCUAGAGAAUUUAUUGUCAUGCUAGACCUUAGGAUAUAUGUCACACGUUAUGAUGUGAUCUUCUGUGAGGAAAGGAGGAAGAUAGAUCUUGGGUUAGAUGGUGUGAUCUCGUGUAAGUGGAAGGGUGUGGAUCUUCCAUGGUGUGAAGUGAUAAUUUGCAUUUCUCAAAGCGAUCUCAAGCGAGUGGAGGGUGGGUGAUCUUAAAUGACACGAUGUGUUUUUCACUCUUGCUAGUUAUUUCCAUUUUAUCUUAACCAAUUUAAGAAAAAAUGCAUAUCCGUGUUGAAAUACGGGAAAAAACUAAGGGCACAUCUAUAAGGAUAACAUUUGCUGGCUAGCUGUCCAUGGGCCACACCUAAAAAACAAACAUCCCCAUCAAGUUCCAAUGAGCUUAAAAUGGAAAUGCACCACCAAAUAUACCACCUACUCCUCCCACAUGUGUUAGCCCGCCUAAAUAGUGUAGUUAAGGAACUUCUUGCUUUAGAGUUAAAAAAGAUUUGCAAAUGUAUGGUAUAGCCUGUAGGCUAAUGAUUGUGUUGCAUGUCUUGUACAUAAUAACCACCUAAUUACAAACAACACUCUUCGAUGGCCUUAUUGUGCCCUACUUUGUAGGGCUGUAAGGACGAGUGGAUGGAUGAAUGUAUUUAGAGCGGGAAUAAAUAUGACAGGGACAUUACAUUACUUUACCUUGAUUGCAUAAAACUAAAAUUAUUUUAAUAUGUUCUCAGACGUUAUUACGAUGGUCUCUAUUGCUUUAUCCGGGUACACCACACAUUUGUGCAUGUGAAGUAUGAUUUCCUAUUGUACUUUGAAUACUGGCAAGGUGUGAGAACAAGUCAUAUUGUCUCUUAGGGCAUGUUUGGCAAUCCUCUAGAAUCGCAAACACCUAGACUCUCUCACCUAUAACCAAAACCCAACUUAAAAAUACCAGCGAUUUGAUUAGCCGUUUGGCAAAUUGGUAGUGUCCUAAGACCGAUUUCAUCGACCGAUGACCCAUUUAGAGGAUAUUUUGCCAAUUUGACUAGGAAACUUCAUCCCAUAUGCACUCACCCAACUCCAUAUGACCACAUCUCUAUCCUCUAGCACGAAUCAAAUCACAUCCUUCAUGAACUCGUGUUACCCCAUGAACUCUGUCCUUAGUGCCUCUCCGAGUCUACAAGCGAUAUGCAAUGCACACUUGUCGCACCUCAUCGAUCCCUUGCCUGAGUCCCAACCAUCCCUAGGACCAGUAUGGGUUGUGAUGCAAAUUUGAGUGUGACUCGACUAGUAGUAGCCCCACCCCCGCUAGGAAAAAUAGUGCCACCUACUCCUCCAAUACAUCAUUGCUCCGAGGAGUUCUGAAUCUAGAAGAAGUCUCCAAAGUAGCAAGCCAUGUUGCUUUGGAUUGGUGUUCGACAAUGGGAAGAUUCUACACCUAGGUGAAUUAACACCAACUUCUUGAUUUUAAUUUUUUGAUAAAAGAAACACAAUCCACUAAUUAAAUUUAUAUUGCCUAUGCGGAAAGUGUAAAAUUGAUACUCAUGUUGCUCGCUUUGCAAUCUACAAUAUUGUUUGGAAGUUCGUAUGCGAGC
rnacentral:lncRNA from 1 species